UUAUUUUCAAGCCGAGCGUUUGUUUUGACAGUAUUGAAAAAAAACAACCAGGGGAAAAGCAGAGAUAUUAUCCUGUGACAAUACAUGCUUUUAUACCUGAGAGGCAUCGAUUCACAGCAGAGCCAUUUGCAGCUCUUCACACGCCUCAAAAAUUGUUUACAAGAACAAGAAACCACUGCCAAGCUGCUCUGUGAAUUCCUGAGGAUUUUUUCCCCCCCCCGUAAAAAUCAUUCCAUAUUCAGGAUGGGGUGGGUGGAAGGCGGCUUUGAACAAUCUCUGUGCUCCUGCUUUGCAGGUCCUGUCAAUAAAACCAGAGCAGAUUUAUGGACUGCCUGCACAGCCCGGGAAGGGACUGGAAUGCUCAGCAGGGAAUGAGAUCACCAGAAAUGAGCCCAGGAACAUCCAGUGCUCACUGGAGAGGACACAGGAGGGAGGAGUUUUUGUUCCCAGAUCUCCUGUCAUAUUUGGGGUCAAUUUGCUCAAAACUGAGAUCCUUAAAUCUUGCACUGGGCAUGGAAUUGUCUUCAGCUGGGGAAAUUCCCCUCUCAGCAGUGAGGGUGGAUCCAGAGGAGCCAGGCUGAAGCCAAUAAGCUGGAAAUGGGAAUGCUUUUGGAGCGAUGAUUCCCAAAUUUUGCUGCACAAAGGCCCAAAAAAUAAAAAGUCCAAGCAUUUUUGACAGAUUUUGUGAUUCUCAUUGGAGUCAAAAGAAGUCUCAUAACUAAAAG